CUGCAGACCCAGCCCCAGAAUUUUCCAGUGCAUUUCCUGUGUGGCCCUCUUGGGCUGGUCACACCGGCUCUCAGUGCAAUGGUUCUGAUGGACUGUGUGCCAGCUUCAAGUGUUUGGCCAACUCCAGCAACUUCUGGUCCUUUCUCCAGAGAGAGGGUAUGGAAGCUGGAAGCUGUACUGACCAGGCCACUUUGUUAGUUGUUCUAGGAAGUCUUACUCCUACUUGGCAAACAAAAUGUAUAGACAGAGGUUUGGCUGGAGCAAUGGGUGUCACAACUGCUGCAGUCCCAGUUCAUUCGCAGUGCCAUGAAGGGAUGGAGCUGCCAUCACGGAGACACCGAUGCUUAGAACCAGUUCUUGCAGAAAUAUGUAGACGGAGAGAAGAAUCUUUGCCUCUCUAAGGACUAGUCCUUGCUCUUACAAAGGGAAGGAAGAAAGAGAUCCAAAAAAUAUUGGGACACAGGAAUUUCUGAUUAGCAUCCCUGGCCAAGUGAUAAAGAUACAUUACAUGCUACACAGUUCUACAAGAGCCCGUCCAAAUCCCCGCUCCCUUGCCCAACGGCGCCCUUUGCAACACAAUAGCUCACACUUCAGGCCUGGAUUUCAAGUCAGCGAUGUGAGGUGGCUGGCGAGGGGGUUUGGCCCCGAGACAACUUGGAAGCUUCGCUGUGAUUUGGAAAGAACGGCAGCCCUUGUUCUGAAAAGGGACAAGGAAAAGGGGACAGAAUUCUCAGCUGCACGAUAAUGAGAAUACGAUGAAACUGCUUCAAGAAGAUGUCCAGCCAGCAGUAGAGGAGUGUACACUUGUGCACGCUGCCAGUGACUGGGACUCGAGCCUGGUCAUGGUCACGUCGGGGGACAGGCUGACCGGGACCAAUGGGACGCUGGCUUUAAGAGCAUCCAGGCAGCUCUCCUAAAAAUGUGCUUUCCUCAUAACUGUAAACAGGAUUCAAUCUGUAUGUAAAAUAAGGACGCUCUUGUUUAAUUGUCUAGGUUUCUUAUAUAUUGACCUGUGGUCCUUUAGACUUGAGUGGCAGCAGAAACAUUAAUUUUUAUGCAUCUUGGGUACAAGAUAUAAACAAAAAGAGCAGACAUUACUUUUAAUGAUUCACAAGGCAGUGCAAAGAAUUCUGCUUUAGGAAUCAAGGCAAUGGACCUAAUUCUGCUGCUCUCCUGUAACUCUGGCUCUUUGAAACGAUGAUACAUUGUUUUACCUGUGGGACCCCCUGCUUCCUCCUUUCAUAAAGGGUUGGGGGUGGGAGGGAGGCAGCUGGGUUAGAUGCCUUUAGCCACGACCCAGCUUCGGAUAUCUUGCCUUCAGAGAUCUGAAAUAGGUUGUAAUAUAUUUAAGCAUUUUUCCCUCGAAAGAAGAC
rnacentral:lncRNA from 1 species